AUUGAACGCUGGCGGCAGGCCUAACACAUGCAAGUCGAACGGUAACAGGAAGCAGCUUGCUGCUUCGCUGACGAGUGGCGGACGGGUGAGUAAUGUCUGGGAAACUGCCUGAUGGAGGGGGAUAACUACUGGAAACGGUAGCUAAUACCGCAUAACGUCGCAAGACCAAAGAGGGGGACCUUAGGGCCUCUUGCCAUCGGAUGUGCCCAGAUGGGAUUAGCUAGUAGGUGGGGUAACGGCUCACCUAGGCGACGAUCCCUAGCUGGUCUGAGAGGAUGACCAGCCACACUGGAACUGAGACACGGUCCAGACUCCUACGGGAGGCAGCAGUGGGGAAUAUUGCACAAGGGGCGCAAGCCUGAUGCAGCCAUGCCGCGUGUAUGAAGAAGGCCUUCGGGUUGUAAAGUACUUUCAGCGGGAGGAAGGGAGUAAAGUUAAUACCUUUGCUCAUUGACGUUACCCGCAGAAGAAGCACCGGCUAACUCCGUG
rnacentral:rRNA from 1 species